rnacentral:rRNA from 1 species
CCCUUAGACGCUCUAGGCGGCACGCGCGCUACAAUGGGUGGUAGAACGCGUAACUGCUCCCGAAAGGGAGGGUGAACCACGAAUACUUACCCGUGAAUGGGAUAGUUUGUUGCAAUUUUCGGACUUGAACUAGGAAUCCCUUGUAAGAAUGCUCAAGAAUAGCGUGCUGAAUACGUCCCUGCCGUUUGUACACACCGCCCGUCGUUUCUUCCGACUGAUACUCAUUGUGAGUUGCAAGGAUUCUUAUUGAAAAAUUGCUGCGAAUGCUUUGUAUUGGAGGAAGAAAAAGUCGUAACA